rnacentral:rRNA from 1 species
UACGGGGGUGCAAGCGUUACUCGGAAUCACUGGGCGUAAAGGACGCGUAGGCGGAUUAUCAAGUCUUUUGUGAAAUCUAGUGGCUUAACCACUAAACUGCUUAGGAAACUGAUAAUCUAGAGUAGGGGAGAGGUAGAUGGAAUUCUUGGUGUAGGGGUAAAAUCCGUAGAGAUCAAGAGGAAUACCUAUUGCGAAAGCGAUCUGCUGGAACCUAACUGACGCUGAGGCGUGAAAGCGUGGGUAGCAAACAGGAUUAGAUACCCCGGUAGUCCCUGAG